rnacentral:lncRNA from 1 species
AGGGUUCUUUGUUUUUCGGGUUUUCGGGGUUUAGUUUUUAUCUCCAUCUUUUGUACUCUUCAUUCUUUUGCCAUUAUAGUAAAAUUAUCUUUGCCCGUGGUUUUUUAUCCUCUUUUGAGGGGUUUUUCCACGUUAAAUUUGUGUGUUCAUCUUCUCAAUUUCUUUUACUAUUUUUACUUGUUCGUUGCUUAAUUGGGACGAUCCUAACAAGUGGUAUCAGAGCUAGUUUAACUUUCAUAGAUCAGCCCGUUCAGAGAUGGCAGCAACAAGGUUUGAAAUUGAGAAGUUCGAUGGUGAGACAAAUUUCAAUUUGUGGCAAGUUCGGAUGAU